CAUCUGAGAUCAAGCUACAGGUUUAUGGCAAUAUGUUCUGAGUUCCAGCUGAGACAUUGGGACACCAAGAACACAUCUCUGACAUCAGCAAUGGGUGUGGAACAGAUAAAGUGCUCUGAACAGUGAGAGCCUAUUGUCCCUGACCCUGAUGAGUUCACAUGAAGCCACUACACAAGCAGCCUUUGGAGGAGCCAUGUGGCCCACACCGGACCAUCAGUCUCCCUUAUUCUAGCUCAGAAGGUGAAGGAAGACUCAGGAGCCCAUGACAUUUCUACUUCAAUGAUUUCCUGAUCCUGAAUCAGAGCAUUGUUCCACAUGACCUCUGAGAAUCCAAAGCAGCAGUUAAUGGGCUCUGGACCAGGUGGUAGCUAUGGAAGCAAAAGAAGGUGAAGAACAGGAUCUUUCUGAAGACCAAAUCUGUCAUUGGAACGUCCCCUGACCCUUCUUGAAAAUGGAGAAUUACAAUCUCUUCUGUGGAGAUGAGGGGAUCUACGUGAAGGAUAUGAGGCAGAACAGCAGCACAGUUAAGACCUUCUAUUUCUGAAGCCCAACAGAUCUUGGUUUGUAUGCCAGGGGGAGCAUUUAUUUAGCUGAGACAAUGUGAAAAUUUUCUUCAGCAUUUAGGGCUCUGCUUCAAUGCUCUUCGAUGUGAUAAUAACUAAAUUUCCUGCAACAUGGCUGUGUGGAUGGAAGGAAACAACACUUCUGAUGCCCUGUACUCCCCUGCUAUCUGGCAAGCCUAUACUCAAUAGGAGCUCUCAGCAUUUCUGUAGCUGUUGAACUAGCCAAGUCUGGACAUGACCAGGCUGGGCUGAUGGAUUUGAAACCCUGCUCCUACUAGAACCCAAAAGAUGGCUCUAAUCUCAGAAGACAGAGUGCCUUCCUUAGAAUUCUGGGUCUGUAAUUUAACUUGCCAAUGUAUCCUCUGUAGGGCUGUGAGCUUUUCUGAUCCUGUUUCCUCAUCUGAAAUAAACCUGCAUCCCAGGGCUAGUUGGCAUUUUGUGUAUUUGUGAAAGCGAUUUGUACACUCCUAAGCACUGAACAGGUGUAAGAGAUGGCGAUGGAAAAAAUUAUAUUUAUAGAAUUUACUAUGACCAUCCUCUGCUCUGAACUGUUUUAAGUGCUUUUGUACAUUGACUCACUUAAUUUUCACAAUAGUCCUUGAAGGUAGGAACUCUUAACAUUCCCAUUUUACAGAUGAGGAAAUUUGAAAAAGCACAGGCCUGGAGGUAAGUCACAGGUUGUAAGUAGAGGAGCUGAGAGGGAAGUUAUGGGAAACUGCACCCCUAACCACUAUCCCACACAGUCUCCCUUUGGUUACAAAGCAUCUGUACUGAGCUGAAUAACAUCCCUUCCAAAUUCAAGUCUAUCUGGAACCUCAGAAUGUGAGCCUAUUUAGAAAUAGGACUGUUGUAAAUGUAUUUGGUUAAAUUAAAUGAAGUCCUACUGGAUUAGGGUGGGUCCUAAGCCAAUAACUGAAAUCCUUAGAAGAAGAGAAAAUAGGAGACAGACAUAUAGGGAGAAGUCAAUGUGAAGAUUGGGGCAGAAAGUGGAAUGAUUCACCUACAAGCUGAGGAAUGCCACCAAUUGCUGGAAACUACCAGAAGUAGGAAAAGGCCAGGAGGUAUCCUCCUCUAGAGCCUCCAAAGAGAACAUGGCCCUACGGAUGCCUUGAUUUUGGACUUCUGGCCUCCAGAACUAUAAGAGAAUACAUUUCCAUUGUUUGAAUCAACCCUGUUUGUGGUAAUUUGUUACAGUACCAUUAGGAAACUUAUCCAGAGGGGGUAGAGGGGAGCAAAUUAUCCCAGAAAUAUUUAUCAGCCCUCUGUGGCAGUCCCUCUCCAAACAAGGGACAAGCUCCAUUACCUGGCAGGCGUCCUUCCCUUCUUCAGCAUUCCUAGCACACAGCAUGUUCCUGGUGAGCACAUACAUAACAGAGGAGCACGUUUCCCAUUUGACCAGGUCGAGGCUGACUUUGUUUAGCUGUUGACUCAUACUUUUCAUAGGAACUGACCCAAAGAAGAAGCAGAUAGGGAAAGGCCCCUGAGCUCAAAGUGGUCCUUUUGGGCUGAGGUCAAGCACCCAUUCACCAUCACGUCUUUUCACCUCAGUGACAAAGGAACUACCGUAUGGCUUAGAGAACUACCCAAAUCUGGACUUAGUAAGGGUAGAGAGGUGUUCAGGAGACACUGAAUCCCAUCCUCUUUGAAUCCAGAGCUCCCCACAACUGGGUAGCUAUUAGAUCACAGUCUCAGUGUACUCUUCUCACUCUGCAGAAGGUGCUAACUCUGUAGUCCUAAAAAGGUAUUUCAUGUAAAUCCAUAAAAAAGUAAAGAAAACUCCUGAUGGCAAGUUCUGUCCUGGCGCCCAUGGCUCAUAAAGAUGGAUUUAAAUCAUGUCAGAGCUUCUGAGUAAUUCACUGUCUAUCUAAGAGGUGAACUUAAUACCUAGAAUGUUUAUUCUCUUAAGAAAGGCUAUUUCCCUUUUUGUAUAUUGUUGAAUUCCCAGAGCCUAGAACACUGUCUGGAAGAGGAUCAAUGAAUAUGUGCUGAGGGACACAGAUGAACUUUAAAUUAAGAAGGUGGUCUUUUUUAAAGUUCAUGAAAAUCUUCCAAGGGUAAUUCCCAAUGAGGAAUUCAAAACAGACUCUGAGAUUUGGGACCAUGUAGGGAUUAAUGUAUUGUCAUUUGUGUGUCUACUUAGAAGAAUG